rnacentral:pre_miRNA from 1 species
AAAUUGCCCCCUAAGUUUUGCAACUGCAGUUUUGGUCCCCAAUGCCAAUUUUUGGUCAAAAAAAAUAACAUGUGGCACCUCACUUGGGGUGCCACAUCAGCGUAGACCGAGUCAAAAUUGGUCUUGGAGGCCAAAACUGCCACAGAUGCAAAACUUAGGGGGUGGUUU